rnacentral:misc_RNA from 1 species
AAGUCGUAACAAGGUUUCCGUAGGUGAACCUGCGGAAGGAUCAUUACCAAAUCCAAAUACCCAACCCCAUGUGAACUAUUGUUUUGUUGUCCUUGGGGGGAAAAGGGUUUGUUUACAAAUUUCUUUUCCCCCCGAAAGAAUCCGGCACUUCGGUGCUUGUGAUUCUUUGAUAAACUACUAAUUAUUGUAUUGGAAUUUUAAUAAAAAAAUUAAUAAAAGACAACUUUUAACGGUGGAUCUCUUGGCUCGU